GGGGACGACUUGGCUUCGACGGGAGCGGAGCGGUCACGGCUGCAUGUCGCUUUGGACAAAGCGUAAAAAGUCCAAACUUAAAUUUAAACGCAAACAACGUUAAAUUUGCUCCUGCUUACGCAAAAGUAGCGUAAGUUCAGUCGAGCCUCGCGCUUUUGAUGCUAUCUAAAAAAGUCCGCGAGUAACCUAGAUAGCGUAGGCUUUUGCACUGACGACGCAAUGGCUGAAAUUUCGUCUUAGUCUAAAUUUCGGUUUUGGAAAGUGAGCCUUUUUAGAUGAAAUUUCCACUUUUACUAAACAUGUAGAUGCUUUGGUUGUUUUGUUUUCGGACAGGGGUUCGAUCCCCCUCGUCUCCACCA
rnacentral:tmRNA from 1 species